CGGGAUAACCCGGAGAAAUCCGGCCUAAUACCGCAUGUGGCCGAGGGGAGGCAUCUUCUUUCGGCCAAAGGAGGCGACUCCGGAGACGGAUGGGCAUGCGUGACAUUAGCUUGUUGGCGGGGUAACGGCCCACCAAGGCGACGAUGUCUAGGGGUUCUGAGAGGAAGGUCCCCCACACUGGUACUGAGACACGGACCAGACUCCUACGGGAGGCAGCAGUGAGGAAUAUUGGUCAAUGGGCGAGAGCCUGAACCAGCCAAGUCGCGUGAAGGAUGACGGCCCUACGGGUUGUAAACUUCUUUUGUCAGGGAGCAAUUGAGUCCACGUGUGGGCUUAGCGAGAGUACCUGAAGAAAAAGCAUCGGCUAACUCCGUGCCAGCAGCCGCGGUAAUACGGAGGAUGCGAGCGUUAUCCGGAUUUAUUGGGUUUAAAGGGUGCGUAGGCGGAAUAUCAAGUCAGCGGUAAAAAUUCGGGGCUCAACCCCGUCGUGCCGUUGAAACUGAUGUUCUUGAGUGGGCGAGAAGUAUGCGGAAUGCGUGGUGUAGCGGUGAAAUGCAUAGAUAUCACGCAGAACUCCGAUUGCGAAGGCAGCAUACCGGCGCCCAACUGGCGCUGAAGCACGAAAGCGUGGGCAUCGAACAGGAUUAGAUACCCUGGUAGUCCACGCAGUAAACG
rnacentral:rRNA from 1 species